rnacentral:lncRNA from 1 species
CAACGAUCCAGGGAAACUUCGCAAACCUGGCUCUAAAUAAAUUAACCCGUGCAGCUGCUCGCGGGACAUCGCAUCCUCGAAAUUUUUGGAGGUGAAUCACAGCUUCCUGGUUUGUUCCAAAACCACUCCAGUGUUCUGCACAAAUCCCGACAUCUCCACAAAUCCUGACAUCUCUGUAAGGUGAGAACUCCAGUCCUGGGGUGGAAGCAGGUUUGGGCUGCUGGGCAUGGAGGAAUUUGGGGUACUGUUCAUUUAAAAAGCAGGAAUUUAUUCAAAUCUCAGCCAAAUUAAUCCUGGACAAAAGAAAAUCUUGGCUUU